UGGGGAAUUUUGGACAAUGGGGGAAACCCUGAUCCAGCCAUCCCGCGUGUGCGAUGAAGGCCUUCGGGUUGUAAAGCACUUUUGGCAGGAAAGAAACGUCAUGGGUUAAUACCCCGUGAAACUGACGGUACCUGCAGAAUAAGCACCGGCUAACUACGUGCCAGCAGCCGCGGUAAUACGUAGGGUGCAAGCGUUAAUCGGAAUUACUGGGCGUAAAGCGUGCGCAGGCGGUUCGGAAAGAAAGAUGUGAAAUCCCAGAGCUCAACUUUGGAACUGCAUUUUUAACUACCGGCCUAGAGUGUGUCAGAGGGAGGUGGAAUUCCGCCUGUAGCAGUGAAAUGCGUAGAUAUGCGGAGGAACACCGAUGGCGAAGGCAGCCUCCUAGGAUAACACUGACGCUCAUGCACGAAAGCGUGGGGAGCAAACAGG
rnacentral:rRNA from 1 species